rnacentral:tRNA from 1 species
AAGGCUUUAAGUUAAAUAAACUAAUAGCCUUCAAAGCUGUAAAUAAAAAUAAUUUUUUAAGCCUUA